AGUGAACGCUGGCGGUAGGCCUAACACAUGCAAGUCGAACGGCAGCACAGUAAGAGCUUGCUCUUACGGGUGGCGAGUGGCGGACGGGUGAGGAAUACAUCGGAAUCUACUUUUUCGUGGGGGAUAACGUAGGGAAACUUACGCUAAUACCGCAUACGACCUACGGGUGAAAGCAGGGGAUCUUCGGACCUUGCGCGAUUGAAUGAGCCGAUGUCGGAUUAGCUAGUUGGCGGGGUAAAGGCCCACCAAGGCGACGAUCCGUAGCUGGUCUGAGAGGAUGAUCAGCCACACUGGAACUGAGACACGGUCCAGAAUCCUACGGGAGGCAGCAGUGGGGAAUAUUGGACAAUGGGCGCAAGCCUGAUCCAGCCAUACCGCGUGGGUGAAGAAGGCCUUCGGGUUGUAAAGCCCUUUUGUUGGGAAAGAAAAGCAGCAGGUUAAGACCCCGCUGUUCUGACGGUACCCAAAGAAUAAGCACCGGCUAACUUCGU
rnacentral:rRNA from 1 species